rnacentral:rRNA from 1 species
GCGCGAAAACUUUACAAUGCCGGCAACGGCGAUAAGGGGACCUCGAGUGCCAGGUUACAAAUCUCGCUGUCGAGAUGCCUAAAAAGCAUUUCAUAGCAAGGGCCGGGCAAGACCGGUGCCAGCCGCCGCGGUAACACCGGCGGCUCGAGUGGUAACCGUUAUUAUUGGGUCUAAAGGGUCUGUAGCCGGCCGGAUAAGUCUCUUGAGAAAUCUGGCAGCUUAACUGUCAGGCUUUCAGGAGAUACUGUCUGGCUCGAGGCCGGGAGAGGUGAGAGGUACUUCAGGGGUAGGGGUGAAAUCUUGUAACCCUUGAAGGACCGCCAGUGGCGAAGGCGUCUCACCAGAACGGACCUGACGGCAAGGGACGAAAGCUAGGGGCACGAACC